AUCCUAAAUAAGCUGAUAUAACAAGUGCUUAUUUGAUUCAUAGGAGACCUAAAUCAAAAUUAUAAAUGGACAUUCGCUGAGAACGCCUUCCUUUUUUUCCAGGAGGCGUUUACUAAUGACUAUUCCCAUACAUCU